rnacentral:rRNA from 1 species
CUACGGGGUGCUGCAGUGAGGAAUUUUGCGCAAUGGGGGAAGCCCUGACGCAGCAACGCCGCGUGAGCGAAGAAGGCCCUCGGGUCGUAAAGCUCUGUCAAGUGGGAAAAAAAUCUUUUGAUCAAUAGUCAAAAGACUUGAUGGUACCACUGGAGGAAGCACCGGCUAACUCCGUGCCAGCAGCCGCGGUAAUACGGAGGGUGCAAGCGUUGUUCGGAUUUACUGGGCGUAAAGAGCGUGUAGGCGGUUUAGCAAGUCAGAUGUGAAAGCCCUGGGCUCAACCCGGGAAGUGCAUUUGAAACUGCUUCACUAGAGUAUGGGAGAGGAGAGUGGAAUUCCUGGUGUAGAGGUGAAAUUCGUAGAUAUCAGGAGGAACACCCGUGGCGAAGGCGAUUCUCUGGACCAAUACUGACGCUGAGACGCGAAAGCGUGGGGAUCAAACAGGAUUAGAUACCCUAGUAGUC